rnacentral:snRNA from 1 species
GUGGCAGUGGUAUUCCUUGU